UGGAGAGAAAGGCAGUUCCUGAUGUUCCCCUCCCCAGGGGCUGGCUUUCCUCUGGU
rnacentral:pre_miRNA from 1 species